UACUAGAGUAGCACUCGCAUAUCAAUAAGCGGAGGAAAAGAAACUAACAAGGAUUCCCUUAGUAACGGCGAGUGAAGCGGGAAGAGCUCAAAUUUGAAAUCUUCAAGGUUUUACCUUGACGAAUUGUAGUUUAAAGAAGUGUUUUCUGUUGGUGUUUUGGUAAAAGUUCUUUGGAAUAGGACAUCAUAGAGGGUGAGAAUCCCGUAUUUGACCAUUAUUUCCAGCUGUGUGAUACACUUUCAAAGAGUCGGAUUGUUUGGGAAUGCAGUCCAAAAUGGGUGGUAAAUUUCAUCUAAAGCUAAAUAUUGGCGAGAGACCGAUAGCGAACAAGUACCGUGAGGGAAAGAUGAAAAGAACUUUGAAAAGAGAGUUAAACAGUACGUGAAAUUGUCAAAAGGGAAGCGUUUGACACCAGUGUUGUUUUUCCGAAAAUCAAUUACGAAUGUUUUGUUUUUAAGAAGUUAUGACUUCAUCGGCUUGCUUCUUUCUUUACGAAACUUUCUUAAUGCACUUUUCGGUUAACAAGUCAACAUCAAUUUCUUUUGUUGUAAAAGGGUAUGAGGAAGGUGGCUUUCUUUUCGGAGAAAGUGUUUAUAGCCUUGUACCUCUGCAAUCGGAGAGAUUGAGGUCUGCAGCGUAGAUCCUUCGGGGUUAGAUACAUUUGUGCUAAGUUAUAGCUUUUCAUAGACAACUUGUUGACUAUGUUAAGUCUUGUAGCUUACUCGCUUAUGCUAUUUUACCUACGCUUAGGAUGUUGAAGAUAUGCGCGACACG
rnacentral:rRNA from 1 species